AAAAUUUUAUCUAGUGUUAUAUUGGCAUAAGAGAAGCAUGAUUUCCUUCAGUGAUUUUGAAUUCAGUCCUAGUGCAGAGUAUUUCAAAAUUACAUUGCAAGACAAUGUCAGGAUAAUUCAGUAAUCUAAUACUAUCCUUACCAAAAAGAAAAAAUAACACCCCCAAAAAACCUCCAAACCCCAAACUAAUACUGAGAUCUGCCUACAUUCAUAAUUAGUA